rnacentral:rRNA from 1 species
GAUGAACGCUGGCGGCGUGCCUAAUACAUGCAAGUCGAGCGAACAGACGAGGAGCUUGCUCCUCUGACGUUAGCGGCGGACGGGUGAGUAACACGUGGAUAACCUACCUAUAAGACUGGGAUAACUUCGGGAAACCGGAGCUAAUACCGGAUAAUAUAUUGAACCGCAUGGUUCAAUAGUGAAAGACGGUUUUGCUGUCACUUAUAGAUGGAUCCGCGCCGCAUUAGCUAGUUGGUAAGGUAACGGCUUACCAAGGCAACGAUGCGUAGCCGACCUGAGAGGGUGAUCGGCCACACUGGAACUGAGACACGGUCCAGACUCCUACGGGAGGCAGCAGUAGGGAAUCUUCCGCAACGGGCGAAAGCUUGACGGAGCAACGCCGCGUGAGUGAUGAAGGUCUUCGGAUCGUAAAACUCUGUUAUUAGGGAAGAACAAAUGUGUAAGUAACUAUGCACGUCUUGACGGUACCUAAUCAGAAAGCCACGGCUAACUACGUG